AAAAAGAAAAAAAGAGUGUGAGAUUUGGAAAAAUACUUUUUAAUACAUUAGCAAGUGAAACCUGGCACAUUAACUUUGUUUUGCAAUAAAUGCUGUUUUCUGGCACAUGCCUAUAACAAUCAUGCAAUUUAUGAAAGACCAUAAUCACAUUAAUGAGGGGGUGUGAACAAAAAUUCUAAGGCAGAGCAUGUUUUGGCUAUCAGCGGUUUCCAAGCUUUCCACAGUAUUCCAUUAACCUGUGAUCAUUUCUCUAUUUUCCUUCUACAGUUUCCAUUACACACUAUGGAACUUCAUUUGAGAAGGCACUAGAACACAAAGCUAAAUCCAAGCCAACUUUUGAGUUACCUUCAGUGACAGAAUCUAGAUACCGAUCUUCAAAGAUUAUAGAGUUCCAAAAGGCGUGCUUCUACAUCUACAUCUACGUUCUCUGAAAAGACCAGUAAUAUCUUGGGAGCAGAAUUCCAUGCACAGGAAAUCUGGAUUCAACUCACUGAAUAUUUG